ensembl:snRNA U6 U6 spliceosomal RNA
GUGCUCCCUUGAGGGUAUACAGCACAUGCACUAAAACUGGAACGAUACAGGGAGAAUUAGCAUGGCCCCUGUGCAAGGAUGAUAUGCAAAUUCAUGAAGUGUUCCAUGUUUUU